ACCUUCUGUGGUGUAGUUGGUAGCAUCUUGACUUAGUAAUUCUAAGUCCUAGGUUCAAGUCCCGGUCGGGGUA